AAUAUCUGGCCGGUGCUGUUCUCGGCUCCCUGAGUCGGCUCAGUGCCUGGUCAUCCGUAUGGGAAACUAGCUCGACCUUCACUGGUCGGUUAGUGGAUCAUACACUUUACUUUGAAAAAAUUAGAGUGUUUCAGGCAGGCAAUUGCUUGGAUACUGUAGCAUGGAAUAAUGGAAUAGGACUUUGACCUAUUUGUUGGUUUCUCGAGGUCAAAGUAAUGAUUAAUAGGGACAGUUGGGGGCAUUCGUAUUUAAUUGUCAGAGGUGAAAUUCUUGGAUUUUUUAAAGACGAACUUAUGCGAAAGCAUU
rnacentral:rRNA from 1 species